AGAGUUUGAUCCUGGYUCAGGAUGAACGCUGGCGGCGUGCCUAAUACAUGCAAGUCGAGCGAACAGAUAAGGAGCUUGCUCCYUUUGACGUUAGCGGCGGACGGGUGAGUAACACGUGGGCAACCUACCUAUAAGACUGGAAUAACUCCGGGAAACCGGGGCUAAUGCCGGAUAACAUGUUGAACCGCAUGGUUCUACAGUGAAAGGCGGCUUUGCUGUCACUUAUAGAUGGACCCGCGCCGUAUUAGCUAGUUGGUGAGGUAACGGCUCACCAAGGCAACGAUACGUAGCCGACCUGAGAGGGUGAUCGGCCACACUGGAACUGAGACACGGUCCAGACUCCUACGGGAGGCAGCAGUAGGGAAUCUUCCGCAAUGGGCGAAAGCCUGACGGAGCAACGCCGCGUGAGUGAUGAAGGUCUUCGGAUCGUAAAACUCUGUUAUUAGGGAAGAACAAAUGCGUAAGUAACUGUGCGCGUCUUGACGGUACCUAAUCAGAAAGCCACGGCUAACUACGUGCCAGCAGCCGCGGUAAUACGUAGGUGGCAAGCGUUAUCCGGAAUUAUUGGGCGUAAAGCGCGCGUAGGCGGUUUUUUAAGUCUGAUGUGAAAGCCCACGGCUCAACCGUGGAGGGUCAUUGGAAACUGAAAAACUUGAGUGCAGAAGAGGAAAGUGGAAUUCCAUGUGUAGCGGUGAAAUGCGCAGAGAUAUGGAGGAACACCAGUGGCGAAGGCGACUUUCUGGUCUGUAACUGACGCURAUGUGCGAAAGCGUGGGGAUCAAACAGGAUUAGAUACCCUGGUAGUC
rnacentral:rRNA from 1 species